UACUUACCAGUCCAGGAGUUUCACUAAGCUUUGUAUUAACCUCAACAAUCUCGCCGGAGAUUGGAGAAUUGAUAUCACUAGUUGCUUUCACGCUUUCCACUGCUCCAAAGCUCUUCCCUUGGCUGACAGCACCUUCCGGUUCUGGCAAGUCUACGAACACUACUUCUCCCAGAUGAUCCUGUAAAAUGUACCCGGUAUUUCCUGUUGUGAUAUUCCAUUGACUUCCCAAACUAUGUAACGAAUAUGUAUAUCAAAUUACAGUCAAUUGUGAUUUUCCUGAAGAAGAACCAAGUAGUUAAUGCCCCUUGGUCUUGCCCUUGAAUGGUUUGGUGCUGUGCAAUCCUAGACUAUCAGCUAGGGUUCAAGCUUUGGUAACAGCAGGAACAGAGCAAACAGGAGUAAAAUAAAGUAGACAAGCAGAAAGCAAAGUAACAAGAAAUACUAAACUCAGGUGAAGGCAAGAAAUACUAAACUAUGAGUGAGGAGGGGAGAUAAGGAAAAGAUGACCUGAGCAUGAUCUGUAAUGCCAAUAGUGGCCACCGGCCCUUCAUGCUUCACCCACUCAUGUGAAGAUGCAUACUUCAACCCAUCUACAACUGCGCAAUCCAACAGUGUUCUAACGUUACCCCCCCUACACUACAAAAAAAAAAAGCCUGCAAAACAGGUUUUAAAAGGACAAAUGCAAGGAAUAAAAAGAGAGUACCAGUAGAGAAGCAUCUUGAGAGGGAGUAGGAAGGAGAGAGGUGAGCUGUGGAGGAGGCAACAGAGAUUCUCAGUGCAUUGGCCGUU
rnacentral:lncRNA from 1 species